AAAAGACAGAUGUUUUUGUCAAAGAAGAGAGCAGAGAUAACAGCUUCAGUUCCCUCAUGGAAAGGUAAAGCAGUGAGAAUAUACCUACCUCAUACAUCCCCACUUCAAAAUCUUUGAGAGGAACACAGACGGAGUCGACCUUUAAGAUAAACAUCUGUUUGAACUCUCAUGUCUUGUAGGUCUUCAGUGAAAUUAGAAACGAGCAUUUCUCCAACGUCUUUGGGUUCCUCAGUCAGAAAGCCAGGAAUCUCCAGACUGCGUAUGAUAAGCGUCAGGGGAUGGACAUAAAGCAGAUGAAGACGUUUGUUGCAGAAGAACUAAAAGGGUUAAAACAGGAACAUCGCCUACUUAGCCUACACAUUGGUGCUAGUGAAUCGAUAAUGAAGAAGAAAACGAAGCAGGAUUUUCAGGAGCUGUUGAAGACAGAACACUCUUUACUUGAAGGAUUUGAAAUCCGUGAGAGCAUCUCCUUCAUAGAGGAGCAUAUCAACAGACAGGUCUCCAUGAUAGAAAGUCUGAGGCUGCUUUGUCUUCUGUCUAUCACGGAAAAUGGUCA